rnacentral:lncRNA from 10 species
CUUUGACUUCCCUUGCAGUUCCUCUGAUGCUGAAGAGUAGGGCUUGCAGGGACUCUGCCUCCUGCAGGGAGCAGCCACUGUUUCCAGGGACCCUCACAGAAGAGGAGCUAAUUUCACACUUUGGGACUCCAUAGAAGCCAGCUUCCUGGCAGUUUGAAGUGUGCUUCUCACACAUCUUCCACCAGCUUGUUUGUCUGCCUAUAUCUGAGGAUCCUUUAAAGCGAUUGAAACAAAAUUAAGGGCAGAAUGAAUCUUUGGUGAUGAAAGUGAGAAUCUGGGAGAGAUGUGAAAACUGGAAGAGAAACAGGAAGUACCUCCAGGAUUCACCUAAAUAGAUGCUGCGGUUUCUAUCAAACCACAGGCCACCCCAGCAUCUCAGUGGCUUCUAUAGGUUGUCCUGAAAGAGCCAUGAGGCCAGGGCCCUUGAUGGAUUCCCAGAUACCAGCUGCUCCUCCAGACACCAAUUCCACCCUCCACCUUUCUGUGUCCGUCCCAGACCAAGGCAGCCCAGGACUGGUAUCCUUCUAAGAAGAGGAAGGCACAUCAGAGGAGAGGCCAUGUGAGGACACCAUGGGAAGGCGGCCACCUGCAAGCCAAGGAGAGGGGCCUCAGGAGAAACCAGCCCUGCUGACACCCUGAGCUCCUUGCAAUUCCAGCCUCCUAGACUGUGAGAAAAUACACUUGUGUUAUU